GAUGAACGCUGACAGAAUGCUUAACACAUGCAAGUCUUUGGCGAAGCUGUGCUUGCACAGCCUAGCCAAGGCGGACGGGUGAGUAACGCGUAAGGGACUUGUCCUGCAGUCAGGGAUAACAGACGGAAACGACUGAUAAAACCUGGUAAAGUCAGGCGGACUCAUGUCCAGCCUGAUGAAAAGGAAUGCUGCAGGAGAGCCUUGCGUCCUAUUAGCUCGUUGGUGGGGUAACGGCCCACCAAGGCGAUGAUAGGUAGCCGGCCUGAGAGGGUGGACGGCCACAAGGGGACUGAGAUACGGCCCUUACUCCUACGGGAGGCAGCAGUGGGGAAUAUUGGACAAUGGGGGCAACCCUGAUCCAGCAAUUCUGUGUGCACGAUGAAGGUCUUCGGAUUGUAAAGUGCUUUCAGCAGGGAAGAAAAAAAUGACGGUACCUGCAGAAGAAGCGACGGCUAAAUACGUGCCAGCAGCCGCGGUAAUACGUAUGUCGCGAGCGUUAUCCGGAAUUAUUGGGCAUAAAGGGCAUCUAGGCGGCCGGAUAAGUCUGGGGUGAAAACUUGCGGCUCAACCGCAAGCCUGCCCUGGAAACUAUGCGGCUAGAGUACUGGAGAGGUGGACGGAACUGCACGAGUAGAGGUGAAAUUCGUAGAUAUGUGCAGGAAUGCCGAUGAUGAAGAUAGUUCACUGGACGGUAACUGACGCUGAAGUGCGAAAGCUAGGGGAGCAAACAGG
rnacentral:rRNA from 1 species